rnacentral:rRNA from 1 species
AUUGAACGCUGGCGGCAGGCCUAACACAUGCAAGUCGAGCGGAGCGGCGGGCGGGUGAGUAAUGUAUGGGAAUCUGCCCGAUAGCGGGGGAUAACUACUGGAAACGGUGGCUAAUACCGCAUACUAUCGGAUGAACCCAUAUGGGAUUAGCGAGUAGGUGGGGUAAAGGCUCACCAAGUCGACGAUCCGUAGCUGGUUUGAGAGGGUGACCAGCCAAACUGGGACUGAGACACGGCCCAGACUCCUACGGGAGGCAGCAGUGGGGAAUUUUCGACAAUGGGCGAAACCCUGAUCCAGCCAGCCCGCGUGUGUGAUGAAGGCCUUCGGGUUGUAAAGCACUUUUGGCAGGGAAGCGGUACCUGAAGAAUAAGCAACGGCUAACUACGUGCCAGCAGCCGCGGUAAUAC